rnacentral:tRNA from 1 species
AGGAUAAUAGUUUAAAAAAUAACAUUUAAUUUGCACUUAAAAAAUAUUGAUAAUCAAUUUAUCUUA